AGAGUUUGAUCCUGGCUCAGGAUGAACGCUGGCGGCGUGCCUAACACAUGCAAGUCGAGCGGAGUUUUUAGGAAGCUUGCUUUUUAAGAACUUAGCGGCGGACGGGUGAGUAACGCGUGGGUAACCUGCCCUAUACACAGGGAUAACAUUGAGAAAUUGAUGCUAAUACCUGAUAAGCCAACGUAUGGGCAUCUAUAAGUUGGAAAAACUGAGGUGGUAUAGGAGGGGCCCGCGUCUGAUUAGCUAGUUGGUGGGGUAAAGGCCUACCAAGGCGACGAUCAGUAGCCGACCUGAGAGGGUGAUCGGCCACAUUGGAACUGAGACACGGUCCAAACUCCUACGGGAGGCAGCAGUGGGGAAUAUUGCACAAUGGGGGGAACCCUGAUGCAGCAACGCCGCGUGAAGGAAGAAGUAUUUCGGUAUGUAAACUUCUAUCGACAGGGAAGAAAGAAAUGACGGUACCUGAAUAAGAAGCACCGGCUAAAUACGUGCCAGCAGCCGCGGUAAUACGUAUGGUGCAAGCGUUAUCCGGAUUUACUGGGUGUAAAGGGUGAGUAGGCGGUUAUGCAAGUCAUAUGUGAAAUUCUGGGGCUCAACCUCAGAGCUGCAUAAGAAACUGUGUAACUAGAGUACAGGAGAGGUAAGCGGAAUUCCUAGUGUAGCGGUGAAAUGCGUAGAUAUUAGGAAGAACACCGGUGGCGAAGGCGGCUUACUGGACUGAAACUGACGCUGAGUCACGAAAGCGUGGGGAGCGAACAGGAUUAGAUACCCUGGUAGUCC
rnacentral:rRNA from 1 species